rnacentral:rRNA from 1 species
UACGUAGGGAGCGAGCGUUGUCCGGAUUCAUUGGGCGUAAAGGGUCCGUAGGCGGCUCAGCAAGUCGGGUGUGAAAUCUCCAGGCUCAACCUGGAGGGCCACUCGAUACUGCUGUGGCUUGAGUCCAGUAGGGGAGCAUGGAAUUCCCGGUGUAGCGGUGAAAUGCGCAGAUAUCGGGAGGAACACCAGUGGCGAAGGCGGUGCUCUGGGCGGAACUGACGCUGAUGGGACGAAAGCGUGGGUAG